rnacentral:pre_miRNA from 1 species
CUAAUGCCUCAGGCUGGCCCCCAGGUUGGGCUGGACGAGCAUCUCUUCGAAAGGCUCACCCUCCAGCACACUUAGGAGC